AUGUGGUUAAUUCGAUGCAACGCGAAAACCUUACCACCUUUGACAUGUACGGAAUCCUUUAGAGAUAGAGGAGUGCUCGAAAGAGAGCCGUAACACAGGUGCUGCAUGGCUGUCGUCAGCUCGUGUCGUGAGAUGUUGGGUUAAGUCCCGCAACGAGCGCAACCCUUGUCAUUAGUUGCUACAUUCAGUUGGGCACUCUAAUGAGACUGCCGGUGACAAACCGGAGGAAGGUGGGGAUGACGUCAAGUCCUCAUGGCCCUUAUAGGUGGGGCUACACACGUCAUACAAUGGAUGGUACAAAGGGUCGCCAACCCGCGAGGGGGAGCCAAUCCCAUAAAGCCAUUCGUAGUCCGGAUCGCAGUCUGCAACUCGACUGCGUGAAGUCGGAAUCGCUAGUAAUCGUGGAUCAGAAUGUCACGGUGAAUACGUUCCCGGGUCUU
rnacentral:rRNA from 1 species